GAUGAACGCUGGCGGCGUGCCUAAUACAUGCAAGUCGAGCGAACAGACGAGGAGCUUGCUCCUCUGACGUUAGCGGCGGACGGGUGAGUAACACGUGGAUAACCUACCUAUAAGACUGGGAUAACUUCGGGAAACCGGAGCUAAUACCGGAUAACAUGUUGAACCGCAUGGUUCAACAGUGAAAGACGGUCUUGCUGUCACUUAUGGAUGGAUCCGCGCCGCAUUAGCUAGUUGGGAAGGUAGCGGCUUACCAAGGCUACGAUGCGUAGCCGACGUGGGAGGGUGACAGGCCAAAUGGGGAAGGAGAGACGGCCCAGAAUGCUAGGGGAGGCAGCAGUGGGGAAUAUGGAAAAAUGGGAGGAAGCCUGAAGAAGAAACGCAGAUUGCGGGAUGAGGGACUUCGGGUUGUAACCCGAUUUCGCCGGUGACGAAGCGGGAGUGACGGUAAUGGGUAAAGAAGCACGGGCUAACUACGUG
rnacentral:rRNA from 1 species